UGCCAGCAGCCGCGGUAAUACGGAGGGGGUUAGCGUUGUUCGGAAUUACUGGGCGUAAAGCGCGCGUAGGCGGUUGAGUGAGUCAGAUGUGAAAGCCCUGGGCUUAACCUGGGAAUGGCAUUUGAUACUGCUUGGCUAGAGUCUGACAGAGGGUGGCGGAAUUCCGGGUGUAGCGGUGAAAUGCGUAGAUAUCCGGAGGAACACCAGUGGCGAAGGCGGCCACCUGGGUCAAGACUGACGCUGAGGUGCGAAAGCGUGGGGAGCGAACAGGAUUAGAUA
rnacentral:rRNA from 1 species